AUUGAACGCUGGCGGCAUGCCUUACACAUGCAAGUCGAACGGCAGCACGGGAGCAAUCCUGGUGGCGAGUGGCGAACGGGUGAGUAAUAUAUCGGAACGUGCCCGGUCGUGGGGAUAACGUAGCGAAAGCUACGCUAAUACCGCAUACGAUCUACGGAUGAAAGCGGGGGAUCGCAAGACCUCGCGCGAUUGGAGCGGCCGAUAUCAGAUUAGGUAGUUGGUGAGGUAAAGGCUCACCAAGCCGACGAUCUGUAGCUGGUCUGAGAGGACGACCAGCCACACUGGGACUGAGACACGGCCCAGACUCCUACGGGAGGCAGCAGUGGGGAAUUUUGGACAAUGGGCGCAAGCCUGAUCCAGCAAUGCCGCGUGCAGGAUGAAGGCCUGGUUGUAAGNGACUUAAGUUAGGUAGGAAGGGUAAGGUAACCGU
rnacentral:rRNA from 1 species